GAUAAACGCUGGCGGCGCACAUAAGACAUGCAAGUUGAACGGACUUAAUCGAAAUAUUUAUAUUUUGAAGCGGUUAGUGGCGGACUGGUGAGUAACGCGUAAGGAACCUGCCUAUUAGAGGGGAAUAACAGUGAGAAAUCAUUGCUAAUACCGCAUAUGCCAUAGAUAUCACAUGAUAACAGUGGGAAAGGAGCAAUCCGCUAAUAGAUGGCCUUGCGUCUGAUUAGAUAGUUGGUGGGGUAACGGCCUACCAAGUCGACGAUCAGUAGCCGGACUGAGAGGUUGACCGGCCACAUUGGGACUGAGAUACGGCCCAGACUCCUACGGGAGGGAGCAGUCGGGAAUAUUGCGCAAUGGAGGAAACUCUGACGCAGUGACGCCGCGUAUAGGAAGAAGGUUUUCGGAUUGUAAACUAUUGUCGUUAGGGAAGAGAAAGGACAGUACCUAAGGAGGAAGCUCCGGCUAACUACGUG
rnacentral:rRNA from 1 species